rnacentral:rRNA from 1 species
CUUAAAGGAAUUGACGGGGGCCCGCACAAGCGGUGGAGCAUGUGGUUUAAUUCGACGCAACGCGAAGAACCUUACCUGACCUUGACAUGCUGAGAACUUUCCAGAGAUGGAUUGGUGCCUUCGGGAACUCUGAGACAGGUGCUGCAUGGCCGUCGUCAGCUCGUGUCGUGAGAUGUUGGGUUAAGUCCCGUAACGAGCGCAACCCCUAUCCCUGGUUGCUAGCAGGUAAUGCUGAGAACUCCAGGGAGACUGCCGGUGACAAACCGGAGGAAGGUGGGGAUGACGUCAGGUCAUCAUGGCCCUUACGGCCAGGGCUACACACGUGCUACAAUGGCGCGUACAGAGGGCUGCCAACUCGCGAGAGUGAGCCAAUCCCUUAAAACGCGUCGUAGUCCGGAUCGGAGUCUGCAACUCGACUCCGUGAAGUCGGAAUCGCUAGUAAUCGCGAAUCAGAAUGUCGCGGUGAAUACGUUCCCGGGCCUUGUACACACCGCCCGUCA